CCCUUCGUGGUGUAGUGGUCAGCACGCUCGACUCGUAUGCGAGAGGUCCGUGGUUCGAGUCCCGGCGAGGGCA
rfam:Stegodyphus mimosarum contig31575, whole genome shotgun sequence.